rnacentral:rRNA from 1 species
UACGGGGGGGGCAAGCGUUGUUCGGAAUUACUGGGCGUAAAGGGCUCGUAGGCGGCCAACUAAGUCAGACGUGAAAUCCCCAGGCUCAACCUGGGGACUGCGUCUGAUACUGGAUGGCUUGAAUCCGGGAGAGGGAUGCAGGAUUCCAGGUGUAGCGGUGAAAUGCGUAGAUAUCUGGAGGAAUACCGGUGGCGAAGGCGGCAUCCUGGACCGGCAUUGACGCUGAGGAGCGAAAGCCAGGGGAGCAAACGGG